AGAGGAGGCGCUGAGGGUGUGGCUGUAAGGCUGGGCUCGAGUGACGACACCCAGGCGAACUAGCUACGAGCUAACCUGAAGCUAACCCUGGCUAACCCAAAGCUAAAGCGGAGGUGGGAGCCGAGCUAACGGAUGUAGCCACCUAGCUUCAACCCAACCGGAGCUAACUGGAACACCCAUCGACCUGAACCUUACACGGAGUUUAGGUGGAGGUUUUCUGCGCCUGUUCGUGAGAAGUACCAGUAUUAAAAAAGUUUUAAAUCGAUCUGUUUAAAUGUCACCAUGGCAGCCUGUGUGUCUCCAACAUCAGCUACACAAAGCAAGUCCAUUUGGAUCAUUGGAGACAGCUGAGUGAGGCGUGGUGCCCAGAGAGCUGCAGAGACAACCUUGGCCUCCCUGACGUCUGUGUCUCCUGGUUCGGUUGGGGUGGACCAUCGACAUACAUACAUGUGCCGAUACUUUGCGCCCUGUUUUAUAAAAUGUAGUGUUAAAAAUAAAUGUUUUUGCUCAAUUACUGGAAUUUCUUUGGUUAAGACAAAAGUGAGGAAUAAUCAUUUACAAGUUAUUUGUACAACAGGCCCAUUUUAAAUCCCAACAGUUUCUUAGCAGCCAAUAGAAAUGUGUUCUUAACUAACUUUACUUGGUUUAAAAAUCUUACUAAAAUAAACUUGAGUGCCGUAUUGCAAAACCCAAUCAUACUUGUUAUGUAAACAUUAGCUUUGUAGAUAUUUUUUACAGAUAUAUAUUUGUGUGCAACAAAUCCAAACUUAAAUAGUUUGUCAUUCUUUAUUGAAAAACAACAAAAUACAGUUAUACAGAAGUGUGGGAAAAUGAUAAUGUGAAAGUAUUGCUAUUUAAAUGUAAUCCUAUUUAUCUUUAAAAAGGAAAACUCUAAAAAUGUCCUGUACAGCAUCAUGACAGAAGAAUGGUGGUCUGUCUGUCAGAAUGUGCUGAACAGAUUUGCUCUUUGAGGAGGAGUGUCAUGUUUGGAGGAAGGUACUUAACCCAAGACAUGCAGAAUACAACACUGACCAAAAACUGAUGGAAAAAAAUGAUUUAUUUAUAAGGAGGAACUUAAGGUGCACAGAUAAGUCUGUGGUUGGAACUGCAACAACAGCUCAGCAUCUGGAGGAGGGAGAACACAGGUGAGCUUAGGUUCUGGUUUCAAAAUCCAUUGUAGGCAGGCAGAGGUGUUCAGCAGACUUACUGUGGUGGGUGUACGUGUUGGCUGGAGGAGAGAGAGGUAGAGAGCCGGGGGAAGCGCAGGAGAGGGAGCAGAGGUGGAGAGAAGCGGGGCGUCCUGGUGGAUGGGGCACUGGGUGAGAUGAGAGGUGGGUUAUGGAGGGUGGUGAUAAGGUCCGUGUGUUGAAUAUCCAAAUC